GACGAACGCUGGCGGCGUGCUUAACACAUGCAAGUCGAACGAAGAGCGAUGGAAGCUUGCUUCUAUCAAUCUUAGUGGCGAACGGGUGAGUAACGCGUAAUCAACCUGCCCUUCAGAGGGGGACAACAGUUGGAAACGACUGCUAAUACCGCAUACGAUCUAAUCUCGGCAUCGAGGAUAGAUGAAAGGUGGCCUCUACAUGUAAGCUAUCACUGAAGGAGGGGAAUGCGUCUGAUUAGCUAGUUGGAGGGGUAACGGCCCACCAAGGCGAUGAUCAGUAGCCGGUCUGAGAGGAUGAACGGCCACAUUGGGACUGAGACACGGCCCAGACUCCUACGGGAGGCAGCAGUGGGGAAUCUUCCGCAAUGGACGAAAGUCUGACGGAGCAACGCCGCGUGAGUGAUGACGGCCUUCGGGUUGUAAAGCUCUGUUAAUCGGGACGAAAGGCCUUCUUGCGAAUAGUGAGAAGGAUUGACGGUACCGGAAUAGAAAGCCACGGCUAACUACGUG
rnacentral:rRNA from 1 species